AUUGAACGCUGGCGGCAUGCUUUACACAUGCAAGUCGAACGGCAGCACGGGUGCUUGCACCUGGUGGCGAGUGGCGGACGGGUGAGUAAUGCAUCGGAACGUGUCCUAAAAGUGGGGGAUAACGCAUCGAAAGAUGUGCUAAUACCGCAUAUUCUCUGAGGAGGAAAGUAGGGGAUCGAAAGACCUUAUGCUUUUGGAGCGGCCGAUGUCUGAUUAGCUAGUUGGUAGGGUAAUGGCUUACCAAGGCGACGAUCAGUAGUUGGUCUGAGAGGACGACCAGCCACACUGGGACUGAGACACGGCCCAGACUCCUACGGGAGGCAGCAGUGGGGAAUUUUGGACAAUGGGCGCAAGCCUGAUCCAGCAAUGCCGCGUGAGUGAAGAAGGCCUGG
rnacentral:rRNA from 1 species